GGGAUCUUGAUUAUUUCACCUGAAGCUUCUCUCCAGGGACCCUUCUCCCUUCAUUCCCACACAUCACUCACAGACCUCCUUCUUUCUUCCUCAAGCCCAUCAGUUACUAUUAAGGGCUUGAUAAAUGUAGGGCAUAGGAGAAGGGAGCAAAAAAAGGACUUGUUUUUCUCUUAAGAGAAAUAUCUAUGCUUACCCUCCCUUGCUGGAGCAACAGGAAACACCUGAAGAUUGCUGACCAAGCAUUGUGCAAGCAGGCCAACCCAAACCUGAAACCCAGAGAGCACUUACCAAGAAAGGAAGUACUGAUGGAGCACACAGAAGAGUGAGUCGACAUCCAGGGGCAGUCUGGAAGACUUCCUAGAGCUCUCCCAGGAGAUUCCAAUGUGCCGCCAAAUUUGAGAGCCUUUCUUGAAGAUCCUCAUGGAUCCGGCCUGGGAGAUGAAUGAAAUCAAACCAAGUUUGAGGAGAACAUGUGAGGUCCUGCAGCCAGGGACUUGCUCCUGAGUUUGAAGGACAAGGCCAUGACCCCGAGAAGAAUCAUCUCUGCUGACCUCUAAAUCAGUCAAGAGCAUUGUGAAGUUAUGUCCACUCAUUCUACCAUCAGUUGGUACUCACUUCGUGCCUAUUUUGAAAACAAGUCAGUCCGUCUCUGCUUUCAAGGGUCUGGUUGGGGGAGAUGGGUCUAAAAUGCACAAGUGAACCCUACGUGACUUCUGAUAAGAUGUGGAGAGUCCAGGUGCCAUUGGGACAUCUAAUCUGGCCUCCUGUAUCCUUUCAAGUCAUCUUAAGGAGUCCACAGACUGGGGUGAAUGAAGUAUUUCUCUCUCAUCCCCCUCCUACAGAACAGCUUGGGGCAAAUCCUGUCACCAAGUAGAAACCAGUGCUGUAAGAACAUGGAGGAUGAUCAGGUGAGCUCUGACAUCCAGGAGGAUUCAUCACAGCAAACCUUGAAAGAUGGAUGAGAUUUUCAGAGGGUGAACGUGGAAGAAGGGGAAAGCAUUUCGCUCCUCACCUAUUUUGCUGGACUUUCUCCCAUCUCUCUCUCUUUUUUAAAAGUCCAUGGAUCAAAACUGAGAUGCCAGCUCCCAGUUAGGACAAGCCCAGUGUGGAGGACAGAGCUGGGGAUUGCUUCUUGGCCUUUGCGUGGCCCACGUCUACUAAUGCUCCUGGCGGCACACUGCCUUCCCCGCAUCAGGGCACGUGUGCAGCUGUGAUCAGUGAAAAGCCGCUCCAACCACCACCCUCAUCUCCAAACAAUAAAGCUUCAUUGGUGAAGGCAUUUGAGAAUUACAGUGGCUUGUUAAUCUCACGUCAGUCAUCCCUAUCUUAUUGAAUUUAAGAAGAAGGGAAACUCAACACUGCUCAAGAGCAGUCCCUCUAAAUAUAAAUGUUUACCUCAAGGCAUUGCACUUCUUUCAAAACACUCUCUUCCCAUUCCUGUCCUUGCCAUUUCACUCCCUGUCCACCUCAUGGGAGUUCACCCCCUCUCACUUCCUGCCCAACCCAAGCCUGGUAUGGACAUUUUCUAUAACUAAAUUAGUCUUUAGAUGUCUCUAGCUGUAUUUGUUUUCUUCUCCUACCUUUUUUCUUUUCCUUUCCUACUCUUUCAUGUCAGACUUAAUUAAUCAAUAAACUUUUAUUGAGCAUUUCCUAAGUGCUGGGUUCAAUCAGGGAAUAUAUAGACAAACCCAGGGGCUAGUCCUGGUCCUGAAGCCCUUAUGAUCUAACUGAUGAGACGAGGACAAACGGAGGUAGGUAAAGAUCAUGUGGCGUUAGCUGGCAUGGUGGUGUUGGUAUAAACCAAGGGCUUGGGUGGUUAGGGCUUCACACUUCAAGGAGGGGAGACUUCCACACGGGGCGGUGGAUAGAAUCUGGAACUACAGGGACUUUGUGACUGGCCAUAACUGAAGACUUGCGUGUACCAAGCAGUAUGCCAAG
ensembl:lncRNA